rnacentral:rRNA from 1 species
UACGAAGGGGGCUAGCGUUGCUCGGAAUUACUGGGCGUAAAGCGCACGUAGGCGGGUUCUUAAGUCGGUGGUGAAAUCCUGGAGCUCAACUCCAGAACUGCCUUCGAAACUGGGAAUCUUGAGUCCGGGAGAGGUGAGUGGAACUGCGAGUGUAGAGGUGAAAUUCGUAGAUAUUCGCAAGAACACCAGUGGCGAAGGCGACUUACUGGACACAUAUUGACGCUGAGGUGCGAAAGCGUGGGGAGCAAACAGG